AACAAACGCUGGCGGCAGGCUUAACACAUGCAAGUCGAACGCAUCCUUCGGGGUGAGUGGCAGACGGGUGAGUAACGCGUGGGAACGUGCCCUUCAGUUCGGGAUAACCCAGGGAAACUUGGGCUAAUACCGGAUACGUGCGAGAGCAGAAAGAUUUAUCGCUGAAGGAUCGGCCCGCGUCUGAUUAGCUAGUUGGUGGGGUAAUGGCCCACCAAGGCGACGAUCAGUAGCUGGUCUGAGAGGAUGAUCAGCCACAUUGGGACUGAGACACGGCCCAAACUCCUACGGGAGGCAGCAGUGGGGAAUGUUGGACAAUGGGGGCAACACUGAUCCAUCCAUGCCGCGUUAGUGAUGAAGGCCUUAGGCUUGUAAAGCUCUUUAACCCGGGACGAUAAUGACUGUACCGGGAGAACAAGCCCCGGCUAACUUCGUGCCAGCCGCCGCAGUAA
rnacentral:rRNA from 1 species